AAAUCGAUAUGAAUGGAAGAUGCCUCUGUAACUUAUUUUUCUCGGUCAAUCGAGUUUAUUCGUUCCAAUUUAUUGGUUUAAUCCGGUAUAAAUCUCAUAGUCGGAGAAUUCGUUUUUGCUUUAGCUUAGGAUGAGUUCAUAGGCACAGUAUAGGUUACGUAGUCAGAGUGAAAAAGAUCCAAUGUUCCAGAUCCAGAUCCGCUGCUAGUCUUUGCUUCACUAGUCCUUGCUUCAGUUGGUCUACCUACUGAUUGCAAGAUCCAAGGUUGGGUAUGAAGCUUUAGCUCAGU
rnacentral:lncRNA from 1 species